GUCUCUUGGAGACAUUCAAUAAAAUUGGAACGAUACAGAAAGGAUUAGCAUGACCCCCACGCAAGGAUGACACGCACGAGUUGAGAAAUGGUCCAAAUUUUU